UGUGCCUCGUGCAAACAGCAUUGUACUUGCAACGCUUCGGGUUUUGACGGAAAAAUAGUGCGAGGUUCCAAGCUUCGAGCUUCGUUUAAUUCUGUAGUUCCCUCAAAAGCCGCUUCCUCUCCGUCGAUUUGUCGUUCCGAUUCCCAAACCACUUACAAUAUUCUUCCAGAAAUCUGAUAUCGACCUCGCCAUGGAAUGCGCCAAUGCCAAUGGCCCGAAGAAGCCCUACACCGUGCUCUACAGAACCAAGCACUGGAGCAUUACUGAUUAUUAUUCAUGGGGGAUCCCUCUGGCUUUUCUCUAGAUGAAUCGAUUCUCCAUGCUUCUGAUUCACAAACCUGGCGAAGAGAUGGCUGUUCUCCAAGAUCGUGGAAACCUAAGACAAAGUGGAGGAUGGAAGCGUUAUCUUUAAGAAAUCACAGAGUUUCAGGUUUUGUGAAGAGGGUAUCAUGAUCGAAGGAGAAACUGAUCAUGCCUAAGAAUAUUUGAGGAUUGUGUUCAGUGAUUGGGCAAUACAUCACCUCCAACGGUGGUGUUGUAACUGCUGAAGAACUUGCACCAUAUCUGAAUUUGUCAGGAACAUGGAUGAUGAGUCGUACAUUUUACCAGUUCUUUUACGUUUUAAUGGCCAACCUGAAAUUGAUGAAGAGGUAUGUUUAACGAGGUAUGAAAUGCUUGAAUGGAUACAAUUAGCUCAAUCUACCCAUAUUUGAUGCCAAUAAUAUGUGAACACAAGUCUAUUGCUAGGUUGAGGCUUGAAGUGUUAUGCUAGUUAUUUCGUCCAUUGAGGCUUGAACACAAGCCUGAAAUUGGUGUUAGUUAUUUUGUCUAAUGGAUACAAUUAUGCUAGUUAUUUCGUCUAUCCCAGAAAGCACAAUCUACCCAUAGUUGAGGCUUGAACACAAGUCUGAAAUUGAUGAAGUGUUAUUUCGUCUUUAGGGAUGAGUGAAGAGGAAGUUUCUUAUUACCAGAAGAUUUUGGCUAUUCAUGUGUCGGGUUUUGACGUUCCCAAGCCAAUUAAAACCUUUGAAGACUGGAUUUUCCCCUCAACUUAUGAAUGCUAUAAAAAAGCAAGGGUAUGAGAAGCCUACUUCUAUACAGUGCCAAGCUAUGCCAAUUGUGCUUUAUGGGAGAGAUAUCAUUAGAAUAGCAAAAACUGGUUCGAGUGCUCAAAGCGACGAGUUCAAGGUGAACUAUGUUAUUCUUGUGGAGGUAGGAGCAUAAUGAGCGAGAUUUGGCGAGGAUUACUUCUUACAGGAUUGAUAGGUGUAAUUUUUUUUAAAUUGUUCAUAGAGGGGAUGAGGGUUGAUUGUACAAUAGGAAUGUAUUCAUGUGGGGGUUGAUAAUUAUACUUUUGAAAUUGUCAUAUGGGGUUGAUUAUAAUGUUGGAAUUAUUCAUAUGGGGUUUACCGUAUUCUUUUUAACUUAGAAAUACUUUAUGAGGUUGUAAUAUUGAGAAUGUUAAAGAAGUGAAGUUUUUAUAAAGA